AUGGCUUUACUUCUGUUGGCUGCGGGCAGAGCCCAGGUGCAGCAGGAGCCGUCGGCAGAGACCACCGAGGGCAUCGGCAUCAGCAUCAACUGCUCACACCCCAACAUCCAAACCGGCGAGUUCAUCCAGUGGUACCGUCAGCUCCCGGGCCGAGGACCCGAACGACUCGUGAGCGGUCUCAAAGGGUCCAAAGAUGUGGCGGAGCCGCCGGGCCGGCUGUCGGUGGCGGCAGACCGCCGGUCCAGCGCCCUGUGGCUCGCCUGGCCCCGGCUCGGGGACGCGGCGGUGUAUUACUGCGCCCUCUCAACCCCAAACACAGAACCUUUGGUGUUCACAAAAUAUUCUGGAGUUUCAGUGAAUGCUUGA